UACGUAGGGGGCAAGCGUUGUCCGGAUUUAUUGGGCGUAAAGAGCGUGUAGGCGGUUAGGUAGGUCCGUUGUGAAAACUCGAGGCUCAACCUCGAGACGCCGAUGGAAACCCCCUGACUAGAGUCCGGAAGAGGAGAAUGGAAUUCCUGGUGUAGCGGUGAAAUGCGCAGAUAUCAGGAAGAACACCCGUGGCUAAGGCGGUUCUCUAGUACGGUACUGACGCUGAGACGCGAAAGCGUGGGGAGCGAACAGG
rnacentral:rRNA from 1 species